GGUGUGAACAGUGCUUUCCGUGCCGUCACUCACCAUUAGGUACACAUAAAUGCACCACAAACUGUUUGGAAAUGCACCAUUGGGUGUGGGGCAUUUGGGUAUUUCAU